AUUGAACGCUGGCGGCAUGCUUUACACAUGCAAGUCGAACGGCAGCGCGGGCUUCGGCCUGGCGGCGAGUGGCGAACGGGUGAGUAAUACAUCGGAACGUGCCCAGUAGUGGGGGAUAGCUCGGCGAAAGCCGGAUUAAUACCGCAUACGACCUGAGGGUGAAAGCGGGGGAUCUUCGGACCUCGCGCUAUUGGAGCGGCCGAUGGCAGAUUAGCUAGUUGGUGGGGUAAAGGCCUACCAAGGCGACGAUCUGUAGCUGGUCUGAGAGGACGACCAGCCACACUGGGACUGAGACACGGCCCAGACUCCUACGGGAGGCAGCAGUGGGGAAUUUUGGACAAUGGGCGAAAGCCCGAUCCAGCAAUGCCGCGUGUGUGAUGAAGGCCUUCGGGUUGUAAAGCACUUUUGGCGGGAACGAAAAGGACUGUGCCAAUACCACGGUUCGAUGACGGUACCCGCAGAAUAAGCACCGGCUAACUACGUG
rnacentral:rRNA from 1 species